AAUAGCCUAACGGCUGAACCAGCAACUUGGAGGAAUGUAUAGCAAUAGCUAAUUGCACCAACAAAUAGUUGACGCAAUAUCGACUCUGUCGAAUAAAAUUCUAGGUAGAAUUAUGAUAAUGACAUUGUCUGCCUAUGUGUCUUGACCAAAUUACGUGCCAGCAGUCGCGGUAAUACGUAGAAGACUAGUGUUAUUCAUCUUUAAUAGGUUUAAAGGGUACCUAGACGGUAAAUCAAGCCUUCAAGGGGACUAAUUUACUAGAGUUACUUGUGAGGGGGUAUUAAAGUACUAAUGGUGUAGAGAUGAAAUUCUGUCAUACCUCUUUUCGUAAGAAAGAUUACGGCACAGGUAUAGGCGAAAGCAUCCCCUUAUGUGAUAACUGACGUUGAAGGACGAAGGCUUUGUGUCGCGAACAGGAUUAGAUACCCCAGUAGUCAAAGCAGAAAAUGAUGAAUGUCAUAGAUUAGACAUAUAAUAGUUUAUUCUAUAAAUGAAAGUGUAAGCAUUCCACCUCAAGAGUAAUUUGGCAACAUUGGAACUGAAAUCAUUAGACCGUUUCUGAAACCAGUAGUGAAGUAUGUUGUUUAAUUUGUUAGCUCUCAAAAAACCUUACCACAAUUUGAAUAUUUAUAUCAUUUUAUUUAUCUUUUUAUUUCUUCUUCAUUAUUUCAUUUUUUAUUAUUAAAAAAAGAUGAAACAAUAGAACAAUAAAUAAUAAGAUGGUAAAAAAGAUAUCUUUACAAGCGUUGCACGGCUGUCUUCAGUUAAUGUCGUGAGACUCUGGUUAGUUCCAUUAAAUUAACGUAAACCCUUACUUUAUUUUUAUAUAAAGUAGUUCCCCACUAGAUUGGAUAAGAUAACAGGGACUAAGACAAGUCAUCAUGGCCUUAAUAUUGUGGGCUAUAGACGUGCCACAUAAACCUUACAAAAGGAUGUGAAAUUGUGAAAUUGAGCUAAUCCCCCAAAUAUGGAGAUACACCAACAAU
rnacentral:rRNA from 1 species